ensembl:lncRNA
AAGUAUUGCAUUCUACAAGACACUUACAGAACAUAAGAAACAUAGGACCACAGUCAGUGCUGAACAAAGCUCCAGAAAGGAUAAUGGCAGGUUCAGUGUGUAGGCUUUAUCAUGCAGUUUUUGAAGCAUUUAGUUGCAGCAUAUCUUGUCUACAAACGGUUUAAUUAACUGUUUGUGUUACAACACAAAGGAGGUCAAUGCCAGAUCAGCAGUCCCCUGGACCUACAGUUCAGACAGAAAUUACAAGGUUUAGAUAUAUUAUUUGUAUUUUUUUUUUUUUAUCUUCCCAGGGCUUUUCCAAAGCUUAAGACAAUACAUGGAGGCUGAUUUCUUCACAAAGCAUCCGGUAUUUUGGGAACAGAGCAAGACAAGAAUAAAGUGCAAGACUUUGCAUAUGACUGGGAUCCACCUGGUGUAACUGAUACCAACAGGACAUGGCUUUUUUUCAAAAGACGCACCUUCAUGAUGUAAUUGAAUGAACACUGAUGCAAAUCAAACAAAUGAGACGUGGCCCUAAGGAAACACCAAUGUGGACAGUUUUGCUCCAACAGCUAGACGCAGUGCUCCUGCUUUUCCCAAAAAGAAUCAAUGGAAUUUACUCAAGAGUUGCUGGUCUGCGGAGAAGAAUUCUGAUUCUGAAUAUCCACUUGCUCAAGUGUGCUACACUUCUGGAUUCCGCUGACAGUUUAUUGAAUCUGCAUCGACUGCUGAGGUCCAAAGCCUGCUGAAGGUCUGGACAGGCAUUUGAGGUGGUCUUGAUUGGAACAUGGCAGACAGUUGAAUGAGUCCUCUUGCCUGUAGGACGGAAAGCAUCCCCCACAUUGCGGACCAGCCCAUCUGAAGUGUAGGUAGUAUACAGUCAGAAAAGGAGAUGGAGAAGACCAUCCCUUUGGCAACUUUCAACAGGCCUGGAACUCAACGCAAGACAGUUACCUGGGAUGUACAUGGCUGCUCCACUUCACAGGGAACAACUACAGCACCACUUUGUGACCAGACAAGUUGCUGUGGGACACAUCCAAACCUGCUGCUCUCCUGAUCGUGGGCAGGGAAUGGGAAUGGGCAGGAAAGCAGGAAGGCACACUACUACAUGGCAUAAUCCUGCAGUACACUUUUUUUUCACUGUGUAAAAAUGAAUGAAGAUGCUUCAUGUACAAAUCUGUUUUAAACAUUUGCAUUUUAAACUGUGUAUGUUUAUUUUUACUUAUUUUUUGACAAACAUUAGUUUCAAAGUGAUAAAAAAAAUAAUAGUGUCAAAACACAUACCUUAAUGAUUAUGCCAAAAAUAGCAUGACGCAGCCACAUCAGAGAAAGCUUUGACAAGGCAGUUGGUUGUACUGCUGACCUAAGAACCUCAAGACUCCAGGGAUCAAGGGGGCAUUCCAAGUGCAAGCAGUGUGGUUCUUGGACGGUCAAUCUAGAAUGUUUCAAGUCAAUGGCAUCAAUCUGUAUUCCCUAAGUGUACAGAGUUCAGUAAUAGUGUUAAUUGUGUACACUUGUAAUCACAAAGACAAUCAAACAAUGUUACUGAUCACUUCUGAGAUUUCUGGUUUGUUGACAAUUCUGCAUGGGACUGAAGUACUACAGCAGAUUUAGGUUAAUGUUUUGUUCAUUUUGAAUUGGAUUACUAUCCCAGUCGUAUGCAAACCUUGGCAGGUCAUCUUUCAGUCAUGGCAGGAAUGUAUAGUGAACACAGAUGUCUAAUGUUGAGAAGUCAUCCUCUUUCAAAGUGUGAAGAACAUUGUAGUACGGUCAUCUACACAUCAUGCCACAGACAUUCUAUUUUGCAGGAAAGAAAAUGAUUAACAGAUGUAUUACUUAACAGUGCACCAUACAUCAUUUACCAGAAGUUUACUACAGGCAUAAGUUUGCUUUUCUUGAUAAUUACAUUACUUUAGACUGUUCUUAAACUGCAUUCAUUAGAAUUAUCAUUGCAGAAAUUAAGACAGUAAUAUGACCCAGUGCCAUAAAAUGUUCAUCAGCUCAAAUUCUGAUUGUGGACACCUGACUGAUAUAAAGCUUCUACACACAGUUCCAAAUAUAGUGAACACUUCUGGAGAAAUUUCCAUAUUCUUCUCACCCUGGAAGUGGGUAUAGUAACAUUUACUUAUGGUGGUGACAAAACCAUAGACCUCUGGAGUUGUGCCUUCAUUUUGUAGUUGGCACUAUGUUGUUUAUGCCCACAUGUGGCACUUCAGGUCUAACCAUAACUUUAGAUAUCAGAAAUGAAACAGGUUUAAUACAAAAAAAUCAUGUGUAGUAAAUAAAUGUUUU